GAUCUUUCAAAAAAAAUUAACAAACAAUAUGACUAAAGCAAAUAUAUGAACAUACUCAAAAGAUUGAAUCCGCAUUUACCUCAAACCAUGCGUUAUUUAUUUACUAAGACAAGAAAAUUUCAAAUAACACAUUCAACAUGAUUAUGGAUAGCCGAAGGAUUCACGAGAAACACAAAAGUGUUUUCUUCGUAACAAUAAACAAUUGAAUCUCCAUCUUCUUUGCAUAUCACUUUUCUGUUUCACAUUAAUCCUUGUGCUACCCAUAAUCAUGUAAAAUUACGAAAAUAAAUAAAUAAAUAAAGCA
rnacentral:misc_RNA from 1 species